rnacentral:rRNA from 1 species
CCUACGGGGGGCUGCAGCUAAGAAUAUUCCGCAAUGGACGAAAGUCUGACGGAGCGACGCCGCGUGGAUGAAGAAGGCCGUGAGGUUGUAAAAUCCUUUUACUGGGGAAGAAUAAGUCCGGGAGGGAAUGCCCGGGUGAUGACGUUAACCGGUGAAUAAGCCCCGGCUAACUACGUGCCAGCAGCCGCGGUAACACGUAGGGGGCUAACGUUGUUCGGAAUUACUGGGGGUAGAGGGCUUGUAGGCGGUCGAAAGGCUUCGGCUCAACCGAGGCAGUGCGUUGGGAACUGUCGGACUGGAAGCACGGAGAGGGAGAUAGAAUUCCAGGUGUAGGGGUGAAAUCUGUAGAUAUCUGGAAGAAUACCGGUGGCGAAGGCGAUCUCCUGGCCGAUGAUUGACGCUGAGGUGCGAAAGUGUGGGGAUCAAACAGGAUUAGAUACCCCUGUAGUC